rnacentral:rRNA from 1 species
GACGAACGCUGGCGGCGUGCUUAACACAUGCAAGUCGAGCGGUAAGGCCCUUUCGGGGUACACGAGCGGCGAACGGGUGAGUAACACGUGGGUGACCUGCCUUUAGCUCUGGGAUAAGCCUGGGAAACCGGGUCUAAUACCGGAUAUGACUCCGCGGCGCAUGUUGUGGGGUGGAAAGCCUUGUGCGGCUGGAGAUGGGCCCGCGGCCUAUCAGCUUGUUGGUGGGGUGANGGCCUACCAAGGCAGUGACGGUAGCUGGCGUGAGAGCGUGGCCAGCCACACUGGGACUGAGACACGGCCCAGACUCCUACGGGAGGCAGCAGUAGGAAUCUUGCGCAAUGGGCGAAAGCCUGACGNAGCGACGCCGCGUGAGGGAUGACGGCUUUCGGGUUGUAAACCUCUUUCAGCAGGGACGAAGCCUC